AAUCAACGCUGGCGGCGUGCCUAACACAUGCAAGUCGAACGAGAAAGUGGAGCAAUCCAUGAGUAAAGUGGCGACCGGGUGAGUAACACGUGACUAACCUACCUUCAAGUGGGGGAUAACCUCGGGAAACCGGGGCGUAAUACCGCAUAAUAUCUUUGGGGCGGAAGAACCGGAGAUCAAAGGAGCAAUUCGCUGGAAGAGGGGGUCGCGGCUGAUUAGUUAGUUGGCGGGGUAAUGGCCCACCAAGACAGAGAUCGGUAGCCGGCCUGAGAGGGCGCACGGCCACACUGGAACUGAAACACGGUCCAGACUCCUACGGGAGGGCAGCAGUGGGGAAUUUUGCGCAAUGGGGGAAACCCGUGACGCAGCAACGCCGCGUGGAGGAUGAAGUCCCUUGGGACGUAAACUCCUUUCGACCGGGACGAUAAUGACGGUACCGGUGG
rnacentral:rRNA from 1 species